AUUGAGCGCUGGCGGCAGGCUUAACACAUGCAAGUCGAGCGGGGUGAUGGUGCUUGCACUAUCACUUAGCGGCGGACGGGUGAGUAAUGCUUAGGAAUCUGCCUAUUAGUGGGGGACAACAUCUCGAAAGGGAUGCUAAUACCGCAUACGUCCUACGGGAGAAAGCAGGGGAUCUUCGGACCUUGCGCUAAUAGAUGAGCCUAAGUCGGAUUAGCUAGUUGGUGGGGUAAAGGCCUACCAAGGCGACGAUCUGUGGCGGGUCUGAGAGGAUGAUCCGCCACACUGGGAAUGAGACGCGGCCCAGACUCCGACGGGAGGCGGCAGUGGGGAAUAUUGGACAAUGGGGGGAACCCUGAUCCAGCCAUGCCGCGUGUGUGAAGAAGGCCUUAUGGUUGUAAAGCACUUUAAGCGAGGAGGAGGCUACUCUAGUUAAUACCUAGGGAUAGUGGACGUUACUCGCAGAAUAAGCACCGGCUAACUCUGUGCCAGCCGCCGCCGCAG
rnacentral:rRNA from 1 species